rnacentral:lncRNA from 1 species
AUUCAGAUUUCAGCAUUCAAUCUCUCUUCUUCUCAUUCAAUAACAUAUAAUUCCAUUCACACUUUCAUUCCAUGAUUUACUUCACAAUAUUCAGAAACUCUCAAUACUCUUAUUUCAAAGAACAUAACAACAAAAGAAAAGAGGUAGCACCAAGCUUAUCCCGGCUCACACUAUCACAGUAAUGGCGGUUUCUUCCUCUCUCUCAUCCUCCUUAUCCUACCACAA